UCAAGAUAUGAAGGGCACACGGUGGAUGCCUUGGCAUCAGGAGCCGAAGAAGGACGUGGACGGCUGCGAUAAGCCGCGGUGAGGCGCUGAACAGCCUUUGACCCGCGGAUCUCCGAAUGGGAAAACCCAGCACCGGUAAUGCGGUGCUACCCGGCGCCGAAUCCCAUACGCGCCGGGAGGAAACCGGGAGAACUGAAACAUCUAAGUAUCCCGAGGAACGUAAAUCAACCGAGACUCCCCUAGUAGUGGCGAGCGAACGGGGACCAGCCCAAACCGGGCAGGUGAAAGCGGACACGCGUUGCCUGCCCGGGGUUGUAGGACUCGUGACCGGAUCGUGUCCGAUCCGGCGGCAGUCACAAAGUUGGGCGCUAGCCGAAGUCGAGUGGAACCUCGCACCACAGAGGGCAAUCGUCCCGUAGGCGAAAGCGCACCAACCUGCCGAUCGAGCACCUGAGUAGGACCACUGCCGUGAAACGUGGUCUGAACCUGGGGGGACCACCCUCCAAGGCUAAGUACUCCCUGAUGACCGAUAGUGAACUAGUACCGUGAGGGAAAGGUGAAAAGUACCCCUGAUGGGGAGUGAAAUAGUACCUGAAACCGCGUGCCUACAAGUGGUCGGAGCACCUUUGAGUGUGACGGCGUACUUUUUGCAUAACGGGCCGGCGAGUUACUCCUACGCGGCGAGGUUAAGCGAUGAGCGGAGCCGCAGCGAAAGCGAGUCUGAACAGGGCGUUCAGUCGCGUGGGGUAGACCCGAAACCGAGCGAGCUAUCCAUGGGCAGGCUGAAGCGAGGGUAAGACCUCGUGGAGGGCCGAACCGACCUACGUUGAAAAGUGGGCGGAUGACCUGUGGAUCGGAGUGAAAGGCUAAACAAGCUCGGAGAUAUCUGGUUCUCUUCGAAAUAUAUUUAGGUAUAGCCUCGAGUAUGUGCGUUCUGGCCGUAGAGCACUGUUUGGCUUAGGGGCCCUACCAGGUUACCGACGUCAGGCAAACUCCGAAGACCAUUUCGUACCAGCUCGGGAGUCAGUGUGUGGGGGAUAAACUCCAUACGCGAGAGGGAAACAGCCCAGAUCACCAGCUAAGGACCCAAAGUACUGGCUAAGUGGACAACGAUGUCCGAAUGCACAGACAACCAAGAGGUUGGCUUAGAAGCAGCCAUCCUUGAAAGAGUGCGUAACAGCUCACUGGUCAAGUGUUCGGGCGCGGAGAAUGUAACGGGGCUCAAGCCAGUCUCCGAAGCUGUGAGCUCGCGGCGCCUGCGGGUGUUGCGAGCGGUAGAAGAGCGUUCCCACCGCUGUGAAGCGGGCGCGUAAGCGUCCCGUGGAGCGCUGGGAAGUGAGAAUGCCGGCAUGAGUAGCGCAAGAGAGGUGAGACUCCUCUCCACCGAUAGUCCGAGGUUUCCUGAGUAAAGUUCGUCUGCUCAGGGUUAGUCGGGACCUAAGGCGAGGCCGAAAGGCGUAGUCGAUGGCCAACGGGUUGAUAUUCCCGUACCACGUCGCAACCGCUAUGACCAAUGGGGUGACGGGGAAGGCUAAGGGAACCCAGGCGAUGGUCGCCCUGGGGCAAGCAUGUAGCCAGUCGCGAUAGGGAAAUCCGUCGCGGCGCCGACGCGAGAUGCGAUGCCAGCUGGCUUGACCGCCGGCCAGUCCCCGAUGCCAUGCCCCCUGGAAAACCCCCUAGGCAGGUUGCUCGUGCCCGUACCGAGAACCGACACAGGUGGACUACUAGAGAAUAGUGAGGUGAGCGAGAUAACCCUCGUUAAGGAACUCGGCAAAAUCGUCCCGUAACUUCGGGAGAAGGGACGCCUCAAUAGGGUGAUGCCACUUGCUGGCGGAGCCCGAGGAGGCCGCAGUGACUUGGUCCAACCGACUGUUUACCAAAAACACAGGCCUCUGCUAAGUCGCAAGACGACGUAUAGGGGCUGACGCCUGCCCGGUGCCGGAAGGUUACGCGGAGUGGUUAGCGCUUCGGCGCGAAGCUGUGAAGCUAAGCCCCGGUAAACGGCGGCCGUAACUAUAACGGUCCUAAGGUAGCGAAAUUCCUUGUCGGGUAAGUUCCGACCUGCACGAAUGGCGCAACGAGUUGGACGCUGUCUCAACGAGGGGCUCGGUGAAAUUAAAGUCUCGGUGAAGAUGCCGAGUACCCGUGGCUAGACGGAAAGACCCCGUGAACCUUUACUGCAACUUGAUAUUGGAGUCUGGGAUUUCUCGCUCAGGAUAGGUGGGAGGCUUCGACCCGGUGACCUCGGUCGCCGGUGAGCCGCCCUUGAGAUACCACCCUUGGUGUUCUGGGCUUCUAACACAUUGCCGUGAUCCGGGAUGUGAACAGUGUCAGGUGGGCAGUUUGACUGGGGCGGUCGCCUCCCAAAGAGUAACGGAGGCGCCCAAAGGUUCCCUCAGCACGGUCGGAAAUCGUGCGCAGAGUGUAAACGCAAGAAGGGAGCUUGACUGCGAGACCGACGGGUCGAGCAGGAACGAAAGUUGGGGUUAGUGAUCCGGCAGUAGCAAGUGGAAGUGCUGUCGCUCAACGGAUAAAAGGUACUCCGGGGAUAACAGGCUUAUCGAGCCCAAGAGUCCACAUCGACGGCUCGGUUUGGCACCUCGAUGUCGGCUCGUCGCAUCCUGGGGCUGAAGUAGGUCCCAAGGGUUGGGCUGUUCGCCCAUUAAAGCGGUACGCGAGCUGGGUUCAGAACGUCGUGAGACAGUUCGGUCCCUAUCUGCCAUGGGCGUUGGAGAAUUGAGAGGAGUCAUCCUUAGUACGAGAGGACCGGGAUGAACGGGCCGCUGGUGUACCUGUUGUCCUGCCAAGGGCACUGCAGGCUAGCUACGCCCGGAUCGGAUAACCGCUGAAGGCAUCUAAGCGGGAAGCCGACCUCGAGAUUAGUUCUCCCAUUCCUUCGAGGAAGUAAGACCCCUGAUAGACGAUCAGGUUGAUAGGCCGACUGUGUAAACGCAGCAAUGCGGGUAGCAGAUCGGUACUAAUGGGUCGAGGUCUUGAC
rnacentral:rRNA from 1 species